CAGCGCUUUACAGUGGGUGGACGAACAAACAUGUAGUUGUAACCAGACAAGUUAGAUACACAGUAACAGAGGGAUUGAGGGCCCUGCUCAAUGAGCUUACAUGCUAGAGGGAGUGGGAUAAAGUGACACAAAAGUUAAGGAUAGUAUUAGACUAAUGACAGUUGCAAGAGAGGAAUCAGUCGGGAGCUAUUAACAGUUUAAUUGAGAUGCUUUUAUGAAGAAGUGGGUUUUUGAUUAAUUUUUUUGAAGGAGUGGAGACUGGGUGAGCAUCUAACGGAGGAGGAAAGUGAAUUCCACAG